rnacentral:lncRNA from 1 species
AUUUCCUCUCUAGAGAUGGUGCAAUGAGAUGUAAAAACACUGAGUAGGAGGUACAUAUUGCAGGCAGAAUUUAUGGUUAUUUUGGGUUUUGGCUAGUGCUUCCCUCAGAUUAAAAGGAAUUCAUAGCUCAGCUAUGUAACCGAUUUUUUUCUAAAAAAUAAAAAUGGGGGAAAAUAUUAAGCUGAAAAUAGCACUGAAAAAGUGCAACAGCAAGACCCUGGGCGUGGUAGUUUCUUCUCUCUGCUGCUUUACAACAAAUCCGUGUUCCAGCUGCUCCAGUGAAAAUGCAGGCAGCACAUUUCUCUGCCAUUAUAGACAGCAUAUUUUAUAAGCUGUUACUACGGAGCUGAUUGAACUUUGUCUACAUGAGUGAACUGACACUGACAGCCCGCAGAAGGCAAUUUCUCCAAUUGCUUGAAAAGACUAAGGAG